rnacentral:rRNA from 1 species
AUACGGAGGGUGCAAGCGUUGCUCGGAAUCACUGGGUGUAAAGCGCGCGCAGGCGGCUAUUUAAGUUGGAUGUGAAAGCCUAUGGCUCAACCAUAGAACUGCAUCCAAAACUAUUUAGCUAGAGUGUGGGAGAGGAAGAUGGAAUUAGUUGUGUAGGGGUAAAAUCCGUAGAGAUAACUAGGAAUACCAAAAGCGAAGGCAAUCUUCUGGAACACUACUGACGCUGAGGCGCGAAAGCGUGGGGAGCAAACAGGAUUAGAAACCCUAGUAGUCC